rnacentral:misc_RNA from 1 species
GUAGGUGAACCUGCGGAAGGAUCAUUACAUUCAGUAGUUUUCUACUGUGGGGAGAGCGGAAAAUACCCGCAUUGUCUUUGGGCAUUGUGGCGUAGGAGUACGCUCUCUUUCAUAACCCUUGUCUUUUCGCGCACUCAUGUUUCCUCGGUGGGCUUGCCCACCGGCUGGACACUUCUAUAACCUUUUUAAUUCUCAAUCAGCGUCUGAAUAAUUAUAAUAAUUACAACUUUCAACAACGGAUCUCUUGGUUCUG